rnacentral:rRNA from 1 species
AAUCAACGCUGGCGGCGUGCCUCAGACAUGCAAGUCGAACGCGAAACCUUCCUUCGGGAGGGGAGUAGAGUGGCGCACGGGUGAGUAACACGUAGGUAAUCUACCUUUGGGUGGGGAAUAACAGCCGGAAACGGCUGCUAAUACCGCAUAAUGCAGCGGCUCGACAUCGAGACAGUUGUUAAAGCGGGGGAUCGUAAGACCUCGCGCCUAAAGAGGAGCCUGCGGCAGAUAGCUAGUUGGUAAGGUAACGGCUUACCAAGGCGACGAUCUGUAGCCGGCCUGAGAGGGCGGUCGGCCACACUGACACUGACAUACGGGUCAGACUCCUACGGGAGGCAGCAGUCGGGAAUUUUGGGCAAUGGGCGAAAGCCUGACCCAGCAACGCCGCGUGAAGGAUGAAAUCCCUCGGGAUGUAAACUUCGCAAGAACGGGAAGAAUAAGUAGAAGCGAAUACCUU